GUGGCUGGGCUCAACACACUCCAGUUCCUCCCUGCUUUAUGACAUAAGAAGAAGGACGAGCAGCAAAAACACCAAAGCAAGCACACACACACACCCAUACACACACACACACACCCCGUGCUGCAUGCCUAAAGAUGACCCUCAAUCAUAUCUGGAGCUUUAUCUGCUUUCUGACAGCAGCCUCUGCGGUAACAGUGUCCUACCCGAGCAUCAACGGCACCGAGGACCUGACAUGCUGCUGUCCGGACCACCAGUGUAUGCAGGCGUACUGGUACCGUUUACUUCAGGGAAGCGACACACCCGAGUUCAUAGUGUAUAUCAACAACUUGAAAAUUCAUGAAUUUGGAAAAUCCAUUGACAAAAACCGCUUCAAGGCAACUGCAUUCGACUCACAAAAGAUAUGUUACACGCUGCGCAUCUCUGGCUUACAGAAGCAAGAUGCAGGUUUCUACUCGUGUGUGAUCAAAACUCAGAAUUCAGCACAAAAUCCCAAAGAUCUGAUGCCUGACGGAUACGUCAUCUGGCCAGGAGUAAUCAUAUCAACUCCGGCACCAUCAACAGUGAAAACUCCAAAGCGUAGGAAGCCUCAGCCUAACAAGUGCAAACCCAGCAAUCCGAAAGGGUGCAAGUCUCUGGUUCUUUGGUCAGGCAUCGGUGCUGUUCUGCUCCUGGUGGUGGUCCUGAUCUCAACACUGUAUUACUACAGCAGUGGAUUCAUUACAAUUGCUCCCGUAUCCGAUCCUCGUGUGAUCGGGCAGGUUUCCAUUUAAGAAGGAUGGCACUCCUAGCCAAAACGUUGGGCUACCCAAGAAGUGCAGACAUCACUUUGUUAAAACGAGGCAGCUGAGCUGAGACAGGACGAGACGAGACGAGACAGGACGAGACAUCACUCCAUCGUGGCAAACCUUUUUUUUUCUUCCUGUAAAUAAAUCAUCUGUACAAUGAAACAUCCUUUUUUUUACGCCUUCUUGCAGACGCCCUUCCCUCGGGCUCGAAUAAGAGACUACAGUCAAGGCUGUACAGUAGUUCUCUUUCCCUCCUUGUUCUGUAAUGUUUAUAUUUAUUUAUUUCUUCAGCAUGAUGCUUUUUUAUUACAGAUUACAAUCAUCUAAGCAACUAAGUAAGUUUUAUUGACCCAGGAUUAAAACGUUCCUAGCUUGGACUCGACACAGGGAACAAGUUGAAUGAAGUCCUUUGAGUGAAGAUCGUAAUGUUAAUGAUUUUUAAUAGAAUAAUAGAAGUGGCUCAAAGUUCGACUUAGUACUGCAGAGACGGAUAGGAUUUCUCAUACACUUCUUUUCUAAAUUGUAACAUAGUAAAAGAAAACAUGGUAUUUGAAAAAGCUUGUUUUUUUGUUGAUUUUGUCUUUUGAUGUUGAAAUUUUUAGCUGAAGUUCAAGCGAUUCUGUCGCAUUAUAAAGCAGCCACUUUGCCCCAGAGUUGCUUGAAUUCUAGAAGGAGAAAGACAAAGAAAUUCAGCUCGUCCUGAAGUUGAGUCUUUUCCCAAAAGCUGUUUUAUUGCUCUUUAGAAAGCUUCAGUAUUUGUUCAUGGAUCGUUUUUGUCCAUUUACAGUUACUUACAGUAUAAAGGUUUGUAAGAUCCAUAUAAGAAGUCGUUUCCUUACCAGCUGCUUGUUUUCUCUCUCGGGAAGUUAAAUAGAAAUGCAGCUUGUCAUGUUACUCGUGUUACCUUUUAGUCCUGAAAACUUUCAUGUGUUGAAAAAACUUACAAAAUGCUGAGACUGAAGACUCCUUCCUUAAGUUUUUAAUAAAUACAGUAUGUCCUCACAGAAAACAUCACAGUUACAUAUCGACAAUAACACAUAAAGAGAUAUUUUCUGUGCUAGUCUCCUCGUACGCUAACGAUAACGUAUUUCAACAGAGCUUUAAAGUACAGUACACAAAUCGACACUUUCUGACCAAUCAGAAUCGAGAAUUAAGCAGCACUGUGGUUUAAAGAAUACAUUAACUAGUGUCUGUUCUGUCCAUCGCUAUAAAUUUUGCCAAUUUACAACCACAAGCAUGUUAGUAUUUGAAUUAUUUUUUUUUAUCACAGAAUGGCGUACACACUUGUCGAUUUACAAAUAAAUCAGUUAAUACAGAUAUAAUAAAUGAUAUAUUCACUCAUUUAAUACUGAAUUUGUUAAGCGUAUUAAUACUGUGAGUAAUGAGACUUAACGCUAGUUUAUUAUCCGUCAUGCUUUUUACGCUAGCUAGUGGGACAGUUUUGAGAAACGAUCUAGCUUCAUAUUGCAGGUUCAAUUUCAAGCUACAGAGUGAUAAGAAAUGGAAAAACUCAUUAGUAAUCGUUUGGCUGUGCGUGAUUUAAUGAAGGACAUCUAGCUCAUUCACCUGAAUGCUUCUGUAACUUUCUAGUUUCCAAAAAAAUAUAUAUAUCUUUUUCCAUUCAAAGUAUUUUUGUAUUUAUUUGUUGUACUGUUUUGUACUGAAUCUUUUCUCCCAAAGAUCAACCCAUUUAAUGUUUCAGCUAAAAAUGUGGGUUUUUUGUGUGAAAUUUCUUUAUUUUCAAAAGUUGGAUGUACAAGUUGUGUUAGAAAUAUGUUUUACGGCUUGUGAAACACGUCACGGUCGUUUUUAGAACUGAAUAAAGGAGCUUUAUCGAC